ACAACGGAUCUCUUGGUUCUGGCAUCGAUGAAGAACGCAGCGAAAUGCGAUAAGUAAUGUGAAUUGCAGAAUUCAGUGAAUCAUCGAAUCUUUGAACGCACAUUGCGCCCCCUGGUAUUCCGGGGGGCAUGCCUGUUCGAGCGUCAUUUCACCACUC
rnacentral:rRNA from 1 species